rfam:Alpha proteobacterium AAP38 AAP38_Contigs_15, whole genome shotgun sequence.
CGCCGGGGACGACCCUGGCCGGAUUUUAGAUGAUGGUGGGGACGACCCUU